AGCUCACAUGACUCUUUCUUUAUGAACUUGACAUUGUAGAUUCUUGAUCCAAAAUUAUAGACAAACCAAAUUAGAUAGAGCCAAAAAGGACUUUGCUUUUAAGGAAAAGCAAAACGUUGGUCGAAGCAAACUGUUGAAAUUUGUUAGGACCCAGAAUUUCCGGUGUCGGUUGUCAGGAACCGGUUUAAAACCCGGUUUUUGAUUGUGGGACUCACAAUUCCCGGUGUCGGUUGUCGGAAACCGGUUUAAAAAACCGGUUUUCGAUUGUAGGACCUGUUUCCUCCACCAUUGACCGAAAAAAUCUAACUUUUUGAUGGAAAGAAUCAUGUCCCACAAAUUCAAUGAUGCUCUCUCCAAGUAAAAGGUGAAGUUUUUGGGGAACCCCAUUUCAUGAUUU